rnacentral:rRNA from 1 species
UACGUAGGGUGCGAGCGUUAAUCGGAAUUACUGGGCGUAAAGCGUGCGCAGGCGGCAAGUUAAGUCUGAUGUGAAAGCCCCGGGCUCAACCUGGGAAUGGCAUUGGAAACUGGCUUGCUAGAGUGUGGCAGGGGGGGGUGGAAUUCCGCGUGUAGCAGUGAAAUGCGUAGAGAUGCGGAGGAACACCGAUGGCGAAGGCAGCCCCCUGGGCCGACACUGACGCUCAGGCACGAAAGCGUGGGGAGCAAACAGG